CUGCCGUGGGCCAAGGCCAACCUCAACCCCACCGGCCAGGCGCUCAUUGUCUGCACCGUCGCCGGGAUGGCAUACUUUGUCGCCGCCGACAAGACCAUCCUCUCGCUGGCGAGGCGGCACUCGUACGAGAGCGCCCCCGACCACCUCAAGGACACCUCCUUCCAUGGCGACGCCGCAGCUCGUCCCCGUCCACCGGCAUUCUUCAGGCCUUGAGUAGAGAGUUAUAGUUAGCUGCUACCGCGCCGUUCGUCGAUGUCCCAAGAAACUGCUGCUUACUUAAUUAUCAUCGCCAUCGUCAUGCUUGCUUACAAUCUUGGAUAUAGUGGUGCCUCAUGCUGUAGCCCAGUGUAACUCGCAUGUAUAGUAUGCUAUAUGCGGGUGUUACAGUUAAUUAACGACAAUCAUUUUCUCCCUGUUUUAUUACUGCAUGCAAUUUGAAUCUUCUGAAUCGCCGAUGAACACUGCAUCCCCAAAAUGAGGACUGGAAGACGUCUCACUUGUCUGAAUUUCAGGUGCAAAUGUGCUAUAAUUAAAGACUGAAAAAUACAUUGGAAAGAUGGUGAAGCAGCUCACAUGCAUGGAGAAGGGCACAUGCCGCCGGGGAGCACAUGCUGCGGGUGUGGCCGGAAAACUGGGAGCGCCGCUGAAUAAGUAAAUUUAGAGCAUCUACAGCCAACCUGACGCCUCGUAUCGAUCUCAAAUGCCUGAGCAGACCGUUCGGUCACUACUCGGUCACGAAAAUACGAUUUAGAUGGAUCUUUUAAAACCGUCUUAUAUACCCGGGCUUACCGACAUCCUUCAUAUCCUCACGCAGAAAAAAUAUAGACUCGUUAUCAACAUUGAGCACCACUUGUUUCGGAUCUUGAUUCAUGAGAUCACCGUGUAGCCUUCCUAGCCACAUACCUUGACACUCUGCUUCACUUGAAGUCGAUCUCACCACUUUUUGCUUUCGUGAUAGCCAGCUUACUAUGCAUCCAUCAACGGAAUAUGCCACGUCCGAGGUACUCUUACCGUCGUCAACAAUUCCUUCCUUGUCAUUAUCACUGUAACCGAGUAGUUUCACCAUCUCCUUCUUGCUCAGCUCAAGACGAGGUUCCAUUGAAGCAUCAAUUGGAUUGCAACCAUUCAUGCCAAAAUUUUCAAGUACCUUCCUUGUGUAUGCCUCCUGGCAUAAUGUGAUCUCUUCUGGCUUAUGAUGUACCUCUGGUCUGAGGUAGCAACUCAAAAGACCUAGACCGUCCAUUUUGAAAAGCUCCUUCAUUUGUAGCUUGAACUUUGCAAUCACCUCUUCAUCUGCUCCAGUAAUCAAUAGAUCAUCAUCGUAUAUAGUUUCCAACUAGUAGACGAUCACUUCCUUCACCUCUCUUGUACAUUGUAUGCUCGAGUGGGGCUUUCUCAAAUCCAAGAGAAAUCAAAGUCCGAUCAAGUUUGAUGUUCCACGCCCGAAGUGUGAAAAGCGUAGGUUAAGCGUAUGCAAUGGCUGCAGGGACGCGUUCAUGUUAUAUGGGGGCCCAACGCCAGAGAUACACAAGUUGGUUAGGUCUAGGAUUGAUCUCCAAGUAAUCUAACAACCAUGAGAUCUUAUCUCUAGACCUACCGGUUUACAAAGAGUUGGACACGGUUUAUACACCACCGUAUCCUAACUAUACAAUGUUUAACACUCCCCCUCAAUCACAACUAUCUAAGUUGAGAUUGUGUCGAAAUGCUUCUAACUGCCUAAGAGUAAGCGGUUUAGUAAAGCCAUCAGCAACUUGAUCACCUGUAGGUAUAAACCUAACAUUCAGCAGCUUGUCGGCAACACGUUCUCGAACAAAGUGAUAGUCAAUCUCAAUAUGCUUAGUCCUGGCAUGAAAAACUGGAUUAGCAGCUAAGUAUGUAGCACCAAGAUUAUCACAGGGAGGCUGCCUUUGGAUGACGUAUCCCAAGUUCAUUCAACAUGUUCUGAACCCAAAUAACUUCGGCAGUGGCAUUGGCUAGAGCUUUAUAUUCUGCUUCGGUGCUCGACCUAGAGACCGUGGGUUGUUUACGAGCACUCCAUGAUACUAGAUUUCCUCCAAGAAAUACUGCAAAGCCUCCUGUAGACCUUCUAUCAUCUGGGCAUCCUGCCCAAUCUGCAUCAGAAAAAGCACUUACAAGCAUUGAAUCUGACUUACUGAUCUUGAGUCCAUGACUCCUUGUCCCUUGGAAAUACCUCAGUAUCCUCUUUACCGCUGUCCAGUGUGUAGUACUAGGAGCAUGCAAGAACUGACAUACCUUAUUUACUGAAUAACAGAUAUCUGGUCUAGUUAACGUCAAAUACUACAAUGCUCCUACAAUACUUCUAUAUUUGGUGGAGUCUUCUGCUCCAAGUACUUCCCCAUCAUGGACAGAUAAUUUUUCAGAUGUAGAUAAAGGUGUAGAAGAAGGUUUGCACCCUUUCAUACCUAUUCUCUGGAGUAUUUCCUGCACAUACUUUCCUUGUGACAUCAUGAUCCCACUGGGUACCUUUUUAACCUCAAUGCCAAGGAAGAAGUGUAGAUCACCUAGGUCUUUGAGAGAAAAAUCUUUUCUCAAGUCCUUAAGAAGAGCUUCAACUGCUUGACUUGAUGAGCUAGUAACAACUAUAUCAUCAACAUAGAUCAGCAUAAAAAUAGUUACUCCAUGCUUAUGAUAAACGAAGAGUGAUGUAUCCCCCUUGGAUGGAACAAACCCUAGGGAUUGCAACUUGAAGGACAAACGAGAAUACCAGGCUCUAGGUGCUUGUUUCAGACCAUACAAUGCUUUAUCAAGUUUGCAAACAUAGUGAGGUGAGUGAGGAUGCUCAUACCCUGGAGGUUGCCGCAUAAAUACUUCCUCUUCUAGAACGCCAUGCAAGAACGCAUUCUUCACAUCUAGCUGUCGCAUGCACCAAUUACGAGAUACAGCUAUUGACAGAAUUAACCUGAUAGUGACAGCCUUGACAACAGGGCUAAACGUAUCCUCGUAAUCCAAGCCAUAGUGUUGCUUAAAACCCUUAGCAACAAGACAUGCCUUAUACCUGUCUAUAGUGCCAUCAGAUUUUCUUUUUACUUUAUAAACCCAUUUACAGUCAAUGAUAUUCUGGCCUGUAGCAGGAGGAACAAGACGCCAUGUCUGGUUCUUGAUGAGAGCAGCAAAUUCCUCAUCCAUAGCAGCUUUCCAUCGGGUAUCACCAAGAGCUUCAACAAGGCUUUGUGGUUCACCUGUGGAACAGAACGAGCCCCAGCGUACACAGCCAUCAGUAUAUACCUUCGGUUUGAGAAUACCUCCCUGGGCACGUGUGUGCGCUCGAGCAGGCGGAGGAGGUGUAGGACGAGCAAGCUGUUGCGGAAGGCGCGGUACUGUAGCCGAGACAGGGGAUUCGUCGAAGGAGUCGUGUAGCGAACGUGAAACACCCGAGCCGGCAGUAUCGUCGGCUGCAUGCGUGUCGGACGACCCGACAGGCAUGGCGGAGUGUGCAGCAGACAGGAGGCGAUCCCGAGGCGCACAUGCAGAGGCUGCUAGCGACGCGGGAGCGGCCGAGCCACGUGGGGGCGUAGGCGACGCGGAAACCGUCGCUGGAGCGCCUGAGCCACGCGGGGGCGGGGGCGACGCAGAAACCGACGCGACACCGCCGAAUCAUGCGCCGCGUUCGGCCGACCGGGAGGGGGCCCGCCUGGCCCUGCCGAAAAACGACCGACUGCCACGGGUGGUGACCCCCGACCGUGGGAGGAUCUACUGGCAGCGUCAGCGCCAGGAGUUGCGGUCCCCGAGGCCGGAAUGGAAUCAGGCGCAGGCUGGCCCGGAUCUGGAACUGAUUCCGAGGCGGGAUCUUCUGCGGAGGCACCGGGAUCUGCUGAGAGCAUAAAAUCACGCCCUGUUGCGCUGUUUCCUGCAAAAUCUUCCUGCACACUAGAAUCUGACGGAUCAUCAGGGUUAGUAGUAUGAGACAUUGUCAUGUGGUCAUCAGCAGUAUCUACCCCCCUAGCAAGGAAUUGUGGUGAUGGGAGGAGGUGGGAGGGAAGUAAAACAAGCUCUUUACGAAGUUGUGCACCAGCAUUAGGAUGGAGUGUAGCAAAAGGGAAAACUUGCUCAUCAAAUACUACGUCACGAGAGAUGUAGACUCGACCAGAAGUAACAUCAAGGCACUUAUACCCUUUGUGCAUUGUGCUGUACCCUAGGAAGACACAUUGUUUGGAGAGAAACUCAAGCUUGUGUUUGUUGAAGGGACGUAAGUACAGCACACCCAAAAAUGCGUCAAAAGGUGUAGUUGGGUUUUGUAUGAAAAAUACGCUCAAGAGGGAUUGAUUAUGGAUGAUCCUACUAGGUGUGCGAUUAAUAAGGUAGACAGCGGUAAGAAAAGCUUCAUCCCAAAACUUGAGGGGCAUAAAAGCAUGGGCAAGGAGGGAUAACCCAACUUCUACAAUGUGGCGAUGUUUUCUUUCAGUAGAGCCGUUCUGUUGAUGAGCAUGGGGCUGGAGACAUGGUGGGUGAUGCCAAUAUUUUCAAAAAACACAUUGAGUUUUUGGUAUUCACCACCCCAAUCUGUUUGCAUAGCAAGAAUCUUUCGAUCAAAGAGACGCUCAACGUGUUGCUGGAAAACAUGAAACUUGGCAAACACAUCAGAUUUAUGCUUGAGUAAAUAAAUCCAGAUAAACUCGCUGAAAUCAUCAAUGAAGCUAACAUAGUACUUUUGCUUUCCUACAGAAAGGGGUCCAGGCCCCCACACAUCAGAAAAAACAAGCUCUAAAGGAGCUUUGGACUCACUAGUGGAACGAGUAUAAGGGAGUUGGUGGCCAUUUGACAUGAAUCACAAACUAACAAGUGAUCCUUUUUAUUGGACACAGGAAGACAAAAAUCUCUAAGAAUUUUAUGGACAACCGGCAAAGCUGGAUGCCCUAGACUCUUAUGCCAUCUUGAAGUGGAGGGUUUGGUCACACCAAGUGCUUGUCGAUGUGGAGGAUCAUGGCGACCAGAAAUUGGAAACAGACAUUUUUUUACUCUUGCUUUGAAGGAUUGUUCUCCGAGUGUCCCGAUCCUUGACAAAAACAAUUUCAGGGUAAACUUCAAGAAAGGCAUAAUUAUCAUUGAUAAGUUUGUGAGCAGAGAGAAGACUUUUGUCAGCUAGAGGUGCAUGAGGAUAUUGUUUAAGUGCAGGGAACCAUGGGGAGUAGACAAAACAGAGUGACCAAUAUGAGCAAUGUCCAUACCUUGACCACUUGCAGUGUAGAUUUGAUCUGUCCCGGUGUAGCGAUCCCGAACAGCUAGCUUCUCAAGCUCACCGAUGACAUGAUCUGUCGCGCUAGUGUCCAGAUACCAGUUGGUAUCCACUCCAUAGGACCCCGAAGUUUUGGCAGCAUUGGCAGAUUUGUUUCCACCCCCACCUCCACUGCCAGCCGGGUUACCCACAUUGUUGUUGAAGUUGCGAUCGAAGCGCUUUUUACAGCGCCACGCACCGUGCCCGCUCUCUUUGCAGAUCUGGCAAUUCUCCCGAUUGUUGUUGUCGCGGUCACCACCACGGUCGCCACGCCCGCCACCAUUGCCCGAGUUGUCGAAGAAGCGCACACCCGUGUUGUUGUUGUUGAAGCCACGGGGACCACCAUUGCCGUUCCCAGAACGACCGUAGCCACCCCGGCCACCUCCCUUAGCAGCCAUAUUGGCCGUGUAGGAGGCUGUCUGGGUAGUGAUCCGUCCCUCUACAGCAAGCAGGAGGGAGUACAGCUCUCCAAGACCGAUCGGUUGAUCAGUGAUGGUGCGGGUUGAGAUAGCAGAAACGAACCCGUUGUACUCGGGUUCAUGCAUCAGCCCUUGGAGGAUGUGCGACACCACGUCGUCCUCAUCAAGGUGUUUUCCAGCAGCAGCAAGUUCAUCAGCGAGCCCCUUCAUCCUGGUGAAGUAGGCGGCGGCGGAGAGAUCACCUUUGCGAGUGGAGGCGAUCUGUGAGCGGAGUUGGAUGAUGCGCGCCCUCGACUGCGAUGAGAAGCUCUGAAGAAGCUCCUUCCACGCCUCGGCAGUAGUCUCGCAGUUACUGACCUGCAUCAGUACGUCGCGAGAGAGGGAUGCCAGCAGAAAAGUCAGUACCUGCUGGUCCUGGGUCACCUAAACGGCAUGUUCGGGGUUGGAAGUAGCGACGAUCUCCUUCUUGCCGGCAACUUCUUUUUCCAGAAGGAGCUCGGCGCUGGGUUCCUUGUUUGAUCCAUCAAGGAACCCCAUCAUACCGGCGGCACGGACGUGCGGCAGGACUUGGGCUCUCCAUACAAGAAAGUUCUCUCUUGUUAGAUUCUCUGUGAUGGUGUGGCCGAGAGAGGCGAUGGAGGGAGAGGCCAUGGUGAUCGCAGAGGAGGAGGUGGACAUGGCGGCGGCUAGAUGUAUUGGAAGAGACUAGCUCUGAUACCAUAUGAAACGCGUAGGUUAAGCGUAUGCAAUGGCUGCAGGGACGCGUUCAUGUUAUAUGGGGGCACAACGCCAGAGAUACACAAGUUGGUUAGGUCUAGGAUUGAUCUCCAAGUAAUCUAACAACCAUGGGAUCUUAUCUCUAGACCUACCGGUUUACAAAGAGUUGGACACGGUUUAUACACCACUGUAUCCUAACUAUACAAUGUUUAACACGAAGGUCUUGCCGUCGCCCAUACAAAACUUUGUGCGCCUUCAAUACCUUGUGUUCUUCUCCCUCUUUGAUGAAGCUUGGUGCUAGAUUCACAUACACAUCUCCUUCCAUCUCACCGUGCAAAAACGUAGAUUUUACAUCCAUAUGAUGUAUCUUUCAUGAUUCUUGAGCCGCGAGAGCGAUGAGUAAUCUCAUCGAUUCCAUCCGCGCAAUGGGAACGAACACUUCUUUGAAGCCCACACCUUCAUCUUGCAUGUCCUCUUUGACCACUAGCUUCGCCUUGUGCUUCACACAAGUUUCUUGAGCUUCUUUCUUGAUCGUAAAUACCAACUUGAGCUGCAUGGUUUUUUCAUUGUUGGGAAGAUCCACAAGCUCCCAUGCAUUGUUGUCGUGUGGAUGUGGAUCGAUCCCAACUCUUCCCUCAUAGCAUGACGCCAACACUCCUUUGUAUUUGCGUCUUCAAAAUCUGUCGGUUUCUCGGUAAUUGCUAGACACCUUCGCUGCUCCCUUUCAUUUUCAGCGGGUCAACUGUCUGAACAGUUUUCUCUAGAUAGAGAUGUAGCUCCGGUUGAAGCAACACGGAUGUAGAUGGCAGUGUCCUUUCUUCCAUUUCCACAGGAACUGCAUUACCUCGCCGUUCCUAUCUCUUCUUGUUGCAGUGUGCGUGCAUGGCAAAACUGCACACACCAUCUCUCCUACACCUCCACUGAACGAGCCACCUUCCAGUGGCAGCUCGCCAUGUCCAGCUAGUUUCCUGGUGCAUACUUAUCACCAUCACAUGGGGAGCGCCCAACAGUUGUUGUUGCCUCUUUGCAUGUGUCACACGCUGCUUGUGAGCUGGCCUGGCCACCAGGCCGUGUGUCCACUUCUGAGCAACUCGGUUGGCUGGGUAGGCCAUCUCCUUUCGGCCCGCCCGCUCCAACGGUGUAACAGCUGCCUCCAGAACUUCCCGAUCGAGCGCUCGUAGAACUCGCUUCAUCAGAACAAGCUCCGUCACCACCUAGCUUGCAUGUUCUGCUCAGCGACACAUCGCAUGUACGCUUUGCCUCUUCGUGGACUUUUGACAUCACGUCUUCGUCUAUUACUAGACAACGUAACAUGGCUUGUGCACACGUGCUUACUUUUGCAUCAGCAUACUUUGAUUCGUGGUUUUCAGGCGUCACGUAUGCCCAAGUAACGUCCGUGACCAUCGCAUCGACACAAAGUUCAGAAUUAUGUCUCACGUCAGUAGCUUCGACACAAGUUUUGAAAUCACCCCUCAUGUCUGUAACAAGGCCGCUUCUCCACGGCCGAACACAUGCAAUGAGCGAUUCCUUCGCUCCAACAAAGUUGGCACUUACACCCAUAGCAUUGAUGUAAGUUUCGGAAUCACCUCCCGCAUCCGUAGCAUCGAUAUGGGUUUCCGAACCAUGAUCUUGAGAGCAAACUCUUCCUUCACGCAGUGCGGCAAUUUAUUUAGCCGACACUUGAAGAACUGGAUCCUCCUCGUCCACGAGUUCACACAUCAACAUCAUGUCACCUUCAUCUCCUUGAUGGACCAUGAGCGCCUUCUCCUUUGGGGGAUUCUUGCACUCCGACUUGAAGUGCCCAAUGAUGCCUUAAUUGUGACACUUAUCUUGCGCUUGUCGAACUUCUUCUUCUCCUUCGGAGCGCCAUCGCUAGCGUCCUUUUGAUUUUUUUUCGUUUGGCACACGAUCUUGGCGAGCGUAACUGCUAGAGCCCUCACCUUCUCUCCUUGAGUCUAGCGCCUGCCACUGAGCCCGCGCGAGCAUGAUAAGCUCAUCGUUCCUCCCGUCCCCGAGAGUGUACCUCAAACGCUCGUCGUGAGCCUUAUAGCGUCCGACAAGAUCAUCAAUACAGAGGGUCGCAAGAUCGAUGCACUGCUCGAUUGCCGUGACAAUUUGCAGGUACCGGGGAUGAGCCGCGCGCAAGAACCGACGGACAACCGAGGCCUCCGUGAGGUUUUCUCCAAAUGCGCGGAUCCGAUUGACGAGAGUUGCAACCCGUGAAGCGAACGCGUCCACGGACUCAUUGUCGCCCAUGACCAAAGUCUCAUAGUUCCGUAAGAGAGUUUGGAGAUUGGCUUGCUUGACGGGGUCGUGUCCCUCAAACAUGAGCUUCAAGGUAUCCAAAGCCUCAUUCGUCGUUUCUUUGACGAUCACGUGUUGAAGGACAUCCAUCGGCAUCACCGAAUAAAUCAUCGACGCCGCCUACCGAUCCUUCCGAUGCUCAGCUCCCUCCUUCUUGAAAGCGUCGCCUCCUGGAUCGAUUGCGUCCCACAACACGUUGGCGCGGAGACGACACUCCAUGAGAGCCUUCCAGAAUCCGAAGUUCUCGCGAUCAAAUCGUGGGUACGACAAACUCGCCGGAGCAGCAAAUACUUUAGCCGCACCGAUGUACUCCGCCAGCUGCUUGGCCUUGUCAUCCUCCGACAUGAUCUUCCGUUACUAGAAUAUCAACCUUGCUCUAGAUAUUAAUUGUUGGCCCAGACCUAACGCCGAGUACUUUCCGGCGACGGUAACGACGGACGAAGACGAAGCCGAACAAAGCUCCUUGACGAACUCGACGAAGUUCCUUUGCGUCGAGCUGUAACCGCUAGCCGGAUUAUCGGUUUCUGGAGGAGACGCGCACGUACGCGUAACCUAAGCAGGCAGGCUAGCAGGUGGAUGGUUUCUCAUGCACACGUUCGUAGCAAUUUGGUUGCUGCCUUGAUCGAUCGGAACUAGCAUCGCCGAGACACACACGCGAGAACACGAGGAUAUGAUGGCUACGGGAGCGUGUCGCUCCCGACUUUCUUCUUUGUAUUGAUCUGAUUUCAAUCUGAUGUUACAAAUUCCUAUAUGGUGACAUAGAUAUAUAUAUUAGCUAGCUACAGCCAAUACAAUUCCUAUAUGGUGACCGUGUCCUAGUCCGACCCGGCUAGGGAAUCACAAGACGUAAUUAACUCCAACACCCGAGCACGUCUGUCUGAUAGGCCUGGCCCACCAUCGAUCCCAUCAAUGUCCCAAAAAAUAACCACUCUCGACGCCUCGUUCCGAACCCUAGCUCUUUCUCUCUUCCUCCAUCUCGUGUUCUCCCGCUUCGAGCCCGCUCCAUCGAGUAGAAUGUCGAGUACCGACAGCCGCUCCGAUGACUCCGACGUCAACCCCGACGAGCUGGCCCUUCGCAUCGCCUUGGAGUGGUCCAAGGUGCAGACCGGCGGCAACUUAGGAUCUGGAGCUAUGCCGCCACUCCCGAGACGGUGGAGCGCGGAUGCCGGAGCUGGACCCUACCGUCCCGCGCGCAACUUCGACUGCAAGGCUGCAUAGUCCGCAUAGGCCUCACGUCGUGUCCUCCCCUCGCCAGGUGCUGCUCCAGGCGGGCAGCGCUGGGUCCUAGUGUCCACGCCGCCGGGCAGCGCCCGCAUGCGUACUCCAAAAUCGGAGGCACGUGCCGCCCGCCAUGAGAGGCGGCGGGCACUAGGAUGAGGGGAAGCACAACAGUCUGCGCGGCGGCACCGCAGGAUGCCAGCAGAGCCCGAUGAGAACGAAUGUCUCCUCGCAAGGGUGUACCUCCGGUCCCUCACGACGGCGGAGACGGACGCUCGGUGCUACCGACGGAAGAAUGUGAAGUUGUUCCGGCUUGCUAUUGAGAAAUUGGUGUGCGAGGCGAAGGAGACAGCGAAGGAGAAGGCCCGACUGGCACGAUUGAAGUGCGAGAAAGACAUGGCGGUCUUGCGGAUAAAGGGGCUCAUCGUCCUCUUCGAAAAUGACUCGGACGACAGCGACAACGGCAUCUUCUCCUCUGACGACCAAGAUCCUCCGCCAACCGCGGACGGCUACAGUUGCCUCGGCGAUCCAAAGGGCAAAAGUACGGCGAGGAAGUGGUGAUAUGCCCCCUCCCCCCUACGCAUUCUUAAUAUAGUUUUUUAGUGAUGAUAAACUAUGUCCUGCGAACUCGAUGAUCUUUUGAGUGAUGAUGGAUUUCCGUUUGCCGCAAAUCUUGUGUUCGUUUCCUUCCGAUUUUAUUUUCCGAUCACGUAGAUUAUUUCGACAUGCAUAUGUAGUAUGAAUAUAGGACGCCGGAAUGAGACAUGUGGAUGUGUUUUUGGAAAAGGAGGUUCAAACCCCCGGCCUCUCCAUCAAUCGAUGCAUAUGUCCAUCUUUAUUAAUUAUUCAACAUAGGUCUAACAAGAACAUACAGAAAACCAUCUGAAGCCAUCACUCACACCUACGAAACUCGAUAAUGUGGAGUGCUCUCAUUCCUCAUAUCUAAAACCGGUGCCGUCACUGAUACACCCACAUAACGUAUCGGAACCCACAGCCGGUGCAGCAGACAUAAAGCGUACACCACAUGCACACGUUUUAGAUGCCGCCAUCAUCAUCAGGCCGCUGACCCGUCUUCAAGAGAGAGAUCUGUAUCAUCCUUGCCAGUCCGUCCAUCCGUCGACGCAACCACGGCUCGUCAGUCCAGACGUGUAGAUUUCGGAAGAUCUGUCGUGUGUAGCACCUGUUGACCAGGCAUGGCACAGCGUAGCACCUAUUGGUCAGGCAUGACUUGACAUCUCCACCGAAAGCUCCGUGCAAGAUGAUCGACGCCACCACGGCGCCAAACAGCGCCACCUCCCUGCGCUCAUUCGUCCAGACACGAAGAUUGUCGAAGAGCUGUCAUGCAUAGCACCUACCAACCAGGCAUGACUCAGCGUAGCACCUGUCGGCCACGCAUGACUUGACAGUUCCACCAAAUCUUCGGGCCAGACGAAGCCGCUCCAUAUCCUACCUCUGUCAUCCAGCGCUGCUCCACAAACGAUGCUCCCAAGAGAGAUAAGGCACCGCAGUACCGCCAUCGUCCGAUCUGGAAAGUCGGAUCUUAGGGUUUCCCCCGAAGUAGUGUUGGAAUUAUGCCCUAGAGGCAAUGAUAAAUAAGUUAUUAUUAUAAUUCUUGUAUCAAGAUAAUCGUUUAUUAUCCAUGCUAUAAUUGUAUUGAAUGAAGACUUAGAUACAUGUGUGGAUACAUAGACAAAACACUGUCCCUAGCAAGCCUCUAGUUGGCUAGCCAGUUGAUCAAGGAUAGUCAGGGUCUUCUGACUAUGUACAAGGUGUUGUUGCUUGAUAACUGGAUCACGUCAUUGGAAGAAUCAUGUGAUGGACUAGACCCAAACUAAUAGACGUAGCAUGUUGAUCGUGUCAUUUUGUUGCUACUGUAUUCUGCGUGUCAAGUAUUUAUUCCUAUGACCAUGAGAUCAUAUAACUCACUGACAGUGGAGGAAUGCUUUUUGUGUAUCAAACAUCGCAACGUAACUGGAUGACUAUAAAGAUGCUCUACAGGUAUCUCCGAAGGUGUUCGUUGAGUUAGUAUGGAUCGAGACUAGGAUUUGUCACUCCGUGUGACGUAGAGGUGUCUCGGGGCCCACUCGGUAAUACAACAUCACACACAAGCCUUGCAAGCAAUGUGACUUAGUGUAAGUUACGGGAUCUUGUAUUACAGAACGAGUAAAGAGACUUGUCGGUAAACGAGAUUGAAAUAGGUAUGCGGAUACUGACGAUCGAAUCUCGGGCAAGUAACAUACCGAAGGACAAAGGGAAUGACAUACGGGAUUAUAUGAAUCCUUGGCACGGCACCUUCCAAUCCUAGUUGGACUAGGAUUGGAGGAGGAAUCCUCCUCCCCCCCUUCGGCUGACCCCCUUGGGGAUCCUUGAGCCUCAAGGCAAGGCCCCUCCCCUCCCACCUAUAUAUACGGAGGUAUUAGGGCUGAUUUGAGACAACUUUGCCACGGCAGCCCGACCACAUACCUCCACGGUUUUUCCUCUAGAUCGCGUUUCUGCGGAGCUCGGGCGGAGCCCUGCUGAGAUUAGAUCACCACCAACCUCCGAAGCGCCGUCACGCUGCCGGAGAACUCAUCUACCUCUCCAUCUCUCUUGCUGGAUCAAGAAGGCCGAGAUCAUCGUCGAGUUGUACGUGUGCUGAACGAGGAGGUGCCGUCCGUUCGGCACUAGAUCGGAGCGGAUCGUGGGACGGAUCGCGGGACGGUUCGUGAGACGGUUCGCGGGGCGGAUCGAGGGACGUGGGGACGUUCCACUACAUCAACCACGUUUAUUAACGCUUCUGCUGUGCGAUCUACAAGGGUACGUAGAUCUGAAAUCCCCCUCGUAGAUGGACAUCACCAUGAUAGGUCUUCGUGCGCGUAGGAAAAUUUUUGUUUCCCAUGCGACGUUCCCCAACAGUGGCAUCAUGAGCUAGGUUCAUGCGUAGAUGUCAUCUCGAGUAGAACACAAAUGUUUUUGUGGGCGGUGAUGUGCGAUUUGCCGCCCUCCUUAGUCUUUUCUUGAUUCCGCGGUAUUGUUGGAUCGAAGCGGCUCCGACGGACAUUACUCGUACGCUUACGAGAGACUAGUUUCAUCGCUACGAGCAACUCCGUUGCUCAAAGAUGACUGGCGAGUGUCGGUUUCCCCAACUUUAGUUGAAUCGGAUUUGACCGAGGAGGUCCUUGGAUGAGGUUAAAUAGCGAGUCAUAUAUCUCCGUUGUGGUGUUUGCGUAAGUAAGAUGCGAUCCUACUAGAUACCCAUGGUCACCACGUAAAACAUGCAACAACAAAUAGAGGACGUCUAACUUGUUUUUGCAGGGUAUGCUUGUGAUGUGAUAUGACCGAGGAUGUGAUGUGCUAGCUCGUGUUAAUUGCACACGGAAUAGGCUCUAUAUCCUCAACCAUGAUCAAUCUCAACCGGAGUGUUGGCUCGCCAAGAGUGAUGAUGAUUCAUGGUUAUGGCGUGCUAGAUUUGGACACAUUAACUUCUACGCCUUGAAGAAGAUGUCAAAGAUGGAGAUGGUAUCCGGGAUGCCAGUUAUCGACCAUGUUGAUCGAGUAUGUGACGGGUGCUUGGUUGGAAAACAGCAUCGCAGGCCGUUCCCUGCUCAGUCUAUCUAUCGUGCAAGUGAUGCACUCGAGCUGCUCCACGGUGAUCUAUGUGGCCCUAUCACCCCGGCAACUCAUGCGGGGAAGAAGUAUUUCUUCCUCGUCAUAGACGACUACUCGAGAUAUAUGUGGGUCACUCUCCUACGAUCUAAAGAUGAGGCAUUUGAAGCGUUCAAAAACUGAAGGCUCAAACGGAGAUGGAACACAAGCUGAAGGUUCGCGCUUUACGGACAGAUCACGGCGGAGUGUUUACAUCAAACAAAUUCAACGAUUACUGCGAGAAGAUUGGUAUAAAAAGGUUCCUCGCGGCACCUUACACGCCGCAGCAGAACGGGGUCGUUGAAAGGCGCAAUCAAACCGUCGUUGACAUGGCAAGGAGUUUACUCAAGAGCAAGAACCUACCGGGCACUUUUUGGGGAGAAGCUGUCUCGACGGCAGUCUAUCUUCUCAACCGGGCUCCAACGAAGGCGGUGAUCGGCAAGACUCCGUAUGAAGCAAUUUACGGACGUAAGCCGAAUGUGUCUCAUCUACGGACAUUCAGGUGCGUGGCACAUGUGAAGACGGCGGAGCCGCACCUCUCAAAGCUUGUCGAUCGUAGCACUAAGAUGGUAUUCAUCGGAUACGAGAGGACUUCCGGCACCAAGGCAUACCGCUUCUAUGAUCCACAAACCAAGCGUCUACUGAUUUCACGCGACGUCGUGUUUGAAGAAAACCAAGCGUGGAAUUGAAGCGCCGCAGCAGAGGAUGCUCUUCACGGUUGAAUUUCCAACUAAUGAUGAUGCAGGGGAGGAUGUCCAGGUGGUUGGUAAGACGUCUAACCAAGGUGACCACAAUGGUAGUGAUCAUCAUGGUGCCGACACCGACGGCGACGUGCAUAGGUCGCAAGGAGAUAUCGACAACGAAGCGCACGAUACGGGUGGAGAUCUCGACGACAACAUCAACAACGAGGCGCAUAGUGACGACGACAAUCAAGAUGAUGGUCAUGAUCACGACGACUACGCCGACGAUGCGGAUGUCGAUGACACGCUUGGGACUUAGCCAUCUUCCUCAAGUGCAUCAACAUCGACACAAUUUGUGUCAUCUCCUUCGCAAGCUACAACGGACUCCUCAGGGCCUCGUCGCUACAAGACACUCAAGAAAGUCUACAAGUACACAAAGCCAGUUACGCUCGAGUACUCCGGACUAUGUCUGUUCGGAGUUGAGGAGUCGGCGAACUUCGUAGAGGCUAGCAAAAGACCUAGUUGGACGCACGCCAUGGAUGAGAAGAUGAAGGCGAUUGAGAGCAAUGACACGUGGACUUUGGUAACCCGAUCUCCAAACCAAAAGGCGAUAGGUUUGAAGUGGGUUUACAAGCUAAAGAAGGAAACGGAGGGUGCCAUUGUCAAGUACAAGGCAAGACUCGUUGCAAAGGGCUACGUACAACGUCAAGGAGUUGAUUAUGACGAGGUGUUUGCACCAGUUGCUCGACUCGAGACAGUGAGAGUGCUCCUAGCUUUGGCAGCACAAGAGGAUUGGAAGGUUCAUCAUAUGGAUGUUAAAUCCGCUUUCCUCAACGGUGAUCUCAUCGAAGAAGUGUACGUGGAACAACCCCUCGGCUACGAGAAGAAAGGCGAAGAAGGGAAAGUUUACAAGCUCAAUAAAGCACUUUACGGGUUGAAGCAAGCACCAAGAGCUUGGAACUCAAAGUUAGACCGAAGUUUGGUCUCGCUCGGGUUCAAGAGAUGUCCCCUCGAGCACGCAGUCUAUACAAAGAACUCCAAAGGCUCAAACCUGCUAGUUGGAGUUUAUGUCGACGAUCUGAUUAUCAUCGGAGAUAGCGUACAAGAAAUUGAACGUUUCAAGGCGCAAAUGAAGAACAAGUUUAGCAUGAGCGAUCAGAGAUUACUCAGCCAUUACUUGGGCAUCAAAGUGAAGCAAAGCUCCGGAGAGAUUUCCCUAUGUCAAUCGGCUUAUGCGGUCAAGUUAUUGGAAAAGUGUGGCAUGUCAGAUUGCUACGAGACACAAGUUCCAAUGGACCAACGUCACAAGUUGAGAUAGCGUAGCUCAAAUCCGCCGGUGGACACGACAUUGUAUCGAAGCGUUGUGGGCAGCCUAAGAUAUUUGGUGCAUACCCGACCUGACUUGGCUUAUUCGGUCGGGAUCGUGAGUCGUUUCAUGGAGAAUCCGACAACCAAGCACAUGAGCGCGGUCAAUCAAAUCUUGCGCUAUGUGAAAGGCACCAUUAAUCUUGGUUGCAUGUACAUAAAGGGAAAGGAAGGAUUGAUCCUUCGUGGAUAUUCAGAUAGUGACAUGGCAGGUGAUGUUGAUGACCGAAAGAGCACAACGGGCAUGGUUUUCUACCUUGGCCCAAAUCCGAUUAGCUGGAAUUCUCAGAAGCAAAAGGUGGUGGCACUGUCUUCAUGCGAGGCAGAAUACAUAGCGACAAGCACAGCGGCUUGUCAAGCAGUUUGGCUGAGAAGACUCCUAGCUAUUCUUGCAAAGCGGGAGGUGCAGAAGGUGUCAUUGAAGAUCGACAACCAAGCUGCAAUUUCGUUGUGCAAAAAUCAUGUUCAUCACGAAAGGAGCAAGCACAUAGAUACCCGGUUCCACCAUAUCCGGGAGUGCAUUGAAGAAGGGUUGAUCGAGGUUCAUCAUGUGAACACGAAAGACCAACUUGCCGAUAUUUUCACCAAGUCCCUCGGUUGACGGAAGUUCAUCGAGAUGAGCUAGAAAGUUGGAGUGCAAGAAGUGAAGUCAAGCAACAAGAUUAAGGAGUAGAAUGUAGAACUUAAUCAUGUUGCUCAUGUAGGAUUAGGAAAGAAAGUCAAACCGAGUCCUAGUAGUAUUAGGAUUCCUAUUCCUAGUCUAUUUCGAUAGUCCCUUGUGGAUGUGUAUAAAAUACACCCUAGGGGUGUUCCUUGUAACACCAGAAAAAACGAAAAGCAAUACAAAGCAAAGGCUCGAGACGGGCCUUUAGCCAUCAAAUCCGUCGAUCAGUUUUAUUUGUGUCGCUAGUUACGCAAGUUCCGUCAAGUAGCCGGCCGAAGCAAGAAUCGCGUAGGCACGCCUCUACGGCUGCAUAUGCACGUUCAAAACCCAACAGUCUGAAUUUCAGGUGCAAAUGUGCUAUAAUUAAAGACUGAAAAAUACAUUGGAAAGAUGGUGAAGCAGCUCACAUGCAUGGAGAAGGGCACAUACCGCCGGGGAGCACAUGCUGCCGGUGUGGCCGGAAAACUAGGAGCGCCGCUUAAUAAGUAAAUUCAGAUCAUCUACAGCCAACCUGACGCCUCGUAUCCAUCUCAAAUGCCUGAGCACACCGCUCGGUCACUACUCAGUCAUGAAAAUAUGAUUCAGAUGGACCUUUUAAAACUGUCUUAUACAUCCGGGCUUACCGACAUCCUUCUUAUCCAACCUAAAUAUAGGGUGGAUAUGGGUGACCUGGUCAUGCCCGAGCACGUAUGUCUGAUAGGCCUGGCCCACCACCGAUCCCAUCAAUGUCCCAAAAAAUAACCACUCUGCACGCCUCGCUCCGAGCCCUAGCUCUCUCUCUCUUCCUCCAUCUCGUGUUCUCCCGCUUCGAGCCCGAUCCAUCGAGUAGAAUGUCGAGUACCGGCAGCCGCUCCGAUGACUCCGACGUCAACCCCGACGAGCUGGCCCUUCGCAUCGCCAUGGAGUGGUCCAAGGUGGAGACCGGCGGCAACUUAGGAUCUGGAGCUACGCCGCCGCUCCCGAGACGGUGGAGCGCGGAUGCCGGAGCUGGACCCUACCGACCCGCGCGCAACUUCGACUGCAGGGCUGCAUAGGCCUCACGCCGUGUCCUCCCCCCACCGGGUGCUGCUCCAGGCGGGCAACAUUGGGUCCUAGUGUCCACGCUGUCGGGCAGCGCCCGCAUGCGUACUCCGAAAUCGAAGGCACGCGCCGCCCGCCAUGAGAGGCGGCAGGCACUAGGACGAGGGGAAGCAGAGUAGUCUACACGCCGGCACCACAGGAUGCCAGCAGAGCCCGAUGAGAACGAAUGCCUCCUCGCAUGGGUGUACCUCCGGUCCCUCACGACGGCGGAGACGGACGCUCGGUGCUUCCAACGAAAGAAUGUGAAGGUGUUCCGGCUUGCUAUUGAGCAAUUGGUGUGCGAGGCGAAGGAGACAGCGAAGGAGAAGGCCCGACUGGCACGAUUGAAGCGCGAGAAGGACAUGGCGGUCUGGCGGAUAAAGGGGCUCAUCAUCCUCUUUGACAAUGACUCAGACGACAGCGACAAUGGCAUCUCCUCCUCUGACAACCAAGAUCCUCCGCCAACCGCGGACGGCUACAGUUGCGUCGGUGAUCCAAAGGGCAAAAGUCCGACGAGGAAGUGGUGAUCUGCCCCCUCCCCCCUACGCAUUGUUAAUAUCGUUUUUUUGGUGAUGAUAAACUGUGUUCUGCCAACUCCAUGAUCUUUUGAGUGAUGAUAGAUUUCCGUUUGCCGCAAAUCUUGUGUUCGUUUCCUUCUGAUUUUAUUUUCCGAUCACGUAGAUUAUUUCGACAUGCAUAUGUAGUAUGGAUAUAGGAUGCCGGAAUGAGAGAUGUGGAUGUUUUUUUUUGGAAAUGGAGGUUCAAACCCCCGACCUCUGCAUCAAUCGAUGCAUACAGCCAUCUUUAUUAAUUAUUCAACAUAGGUCUAACAAGAACAUACAUCAAACGAUCUGAAGCCAUCACUCACACCUACGAAACUCGAUAAUGUGGAGUGCUCUCAUUCCCCAUAUCUAAAACCGGUGCCGUCAUUGAUCCAUCCACGUAACGUAUCGGAACCCACAGCCGGUGCAGCAGACAUAAAGCGUACACCACAUGCACAUGUUUUAUACGCCGCCAUCAUCAUCAGGCCGCUGACCCGCCUUCAAGAGAGAGAUCUGUAUCAUCCUUGCCAGUCCGUCCAUCCGUCGACGCCACCACAGCUCGUCAGUCCAGACGCGAAGAUUCCGGAAGAUCUGUCGUGCGUAGCACCUGCCGACCAGGCAUGACACAGCGUAGUACCUGUCGGCCAGGCAUGACUUGACAUCUCCACCGAAAGCUCUGUGCAAGAUGAUCGACGCCACCACGGAACCAAACAGUGCCACCGCCUUGCGCUCAUUCGUCCAGACACGAAGUUUGUGGAAGAACUGUCGUGCAUAGCACCUACCAACCAGGCAUGACUCAGUGUAGCACCUGUCAGCCACGCAUGACUUGACAGUUCCACCAAAUCUUCGGGCCAGACGAAGCCGCUCCAUAUCCUGCCUCUGUCAUCCAGCGCUGCUCCACAAACGAUGCUCCCAAGAGAGAUACGGCACCGCAGUACCGCCAUCGUCCGAUCUGGAAAGUCAGAUCUUAGGGUUUCCCCCGAAGUAGUGCCCACCAUCAGCAACCGUCCAGGACGCACAUAGUUUCCACCACCACUCAGCCCUCAGGGCGACGCCUUCAGGAAGGUCACGACGUCAAGGACGCCGCCGCCGCCCACUGGAGUUAGGAUUUUCACCCGAUAGGUAGUGACAUAGGAAGUGAAGGAGCAGACGUAGACCGACGUCUCCAGGAAGAACAACGGCGCCCUUGAGCGUCAUCGUCGGCGCGGCCGGCCAGGGCCGACCAAUGGGUUUCCCCUUAUGUGAAUCUCCUCCACCAGCUUCAUCUGCGGCCACGCCGGCAACGUCAGGAAACCGCAGGAGAGAAGCACACCGCAGGUAUCUGGAUCAAUGAAAAUCCAAUGUGAACAGUGACGAGUACCACCACCCUGCGCUGGCCGACGGCGUCCGGGCACCGGAUCCAGAAUGAUCUGAGCCGAACUCGACGGCGCAAGCGACCACCAUGUCUUGCCCCUCCCGCAGCCGCCACUCCGCGUCGCAAGAACGAACCCCAGCCCUCGACGCGCUACGCAUGCCGCCGCUAGGAUCCACAUGCCGCGCCGCCGCACCACGCGCUAGUCUGGUGCCUCCUCACGAACGGUCGUCCCACGCCAGCCAUGUCGUGUGAAGGGGAGAUGAUCCCCGCCACCACCCCUGUCGGCGGCGAGGAUGAAGGAGGAGCGAGGGAGGACCGGCAGCGGCGGCUAGGGUUACCCCCUGGUCGCCCACGGGGGCGACGACAGGGGGUUACGGGGGCGACGGGGAUAUGUUCGCGAAGUUGUUGCUCGCGGACAUGAGACACGUGGAUGUGGAGAGGGAAAUUUAAGGCAUGAUCGGUCACUGUCUACGGACACGCCGAACGCGUCCAUGGACAUUUGAGGAAUCAAAUUUGCAAGAUCCGACUAUAGAUGCUCUUACACCAGCCAGUAGUUACCGAUUGGCAAUCCACCGUCCAUCAAUUUCACUAAUAUCUGUGACACGAUAUAAAGUUGUAAAUCCAUUAUCUGUCCUAUACUCAAUAAAUACAGACAAGACUGGCAUGCACUCACACAUUUGUAUCAAAAUACAUGCAUGUCAUGCAGCUUUGUACAAGAGAGAAAGUUGGGAUGGAGACCGAUUCAUGCACGAUUCUCUCUCCCCACAUAAAUGACAUUGACGUUCCGAACAAGAUCAUGUUGAAUGAUUGGGCAUUUUGAAUGAUUGUCCUAUUUUAAACCAAUGCCCAUUUUUGAAACCUUUUAUAUAUUUCAAAUCAUGUUGACAAGACGUUCCGAACAAGAUCAAUACUGGUUCUAUUUGAAUUACUUUUUAUUUUUUAUAUUUCAAUUGUCUUUUGAAUCACUUUCAUAAAACUAAAGAUACUUUUGUUAUUUCAUACAAGUGUUAAUGAAUGUUGUGUUAAUUUAAAAAAUGUAUUUCAUCAUUUACAAAAAACUAAUUUCAGUCAUUUUAAACAUUCGUUUCACUUAUUUUAAAAGACACAUUUCACUGAUUCGAGAAAAUAAUAUUUCACUCAUCUCCAAAAUAUGGAUCUAGGGCCAUCAAAAAUGAAGGAUUUAACUCAUCCCAAAAUUUAUUUCACACAUUUCAAAAAAUUGAUUUUACUCAGUUCAUGAAACAGCUGAUUUUACUCAUUCGAUACAACUGAUUUCAGUCGUUUCAAUUGAAAGAAAUACAUGUUUCAAUAAUUUUCAUAAUCAAAUUUCACUCAUUUCGAAAUAAAAAUAUUCUUGUUUCAAGAAGCUAGUAUAUGUCAAAUAAAAAUAAACUUAAAAAUAUUUCAUAAAAGUAACCUCACUCAGUUGAUUUCAAUCGUUUCAAAUUAAUCAUUUAAAGUAUUUCAAAAAACCGUUUUCACUCAAUUCAAAAAACUAUGACUUCACAAAACAAAUUCGCCCGCUCCAUAAAACAGAUUUCGCUCGUUUCAAAAAUUAGAUUUCACUUAUUUACAAAACGAUUUCACUCAUUCAAACAAUGAUUUUACUCAUAAAUUAUAAAACAUGUGAAUGAUGAAUGUUAUGUCGGUACAUUCCUGAACCGGAGAAUAUAAAAAAUGGACUGCUAUCAAUACCGGGUUACACAUAAAUUAUAAAACAUGUGAAUGAUGAAUGUUAUGUCGGUACAUUCCUGAACCGGUAAAAAAGUGUUUUGCGGGAGCGCCGCUCGACGAUUACGAGUGAAACCGACGGCAUGUGAUGUGAUCAGCAACUGUCGUGCCCAACUUUAUAUCGAUCGAGAUCUCCUUUUUCUUGCUAACUUUGGUGGGUAAAAUAUAAAGACGAGGGAACAAACAAACGUCGUUGAAUCCUGUGGAUUCCUACCAUAGUUUUGGAGAACCGGCCUACCCUGCCGCUCUCGGAAAGCGUGCGGUGCUCUGCCCCGCCAACAAACUCGUGUCUGUCCAAGUGCAAAACGAGUGAGCAAAGCAGAUCAGCAGAGCACCCACGGUUUGCGCCCAAAACCAUGCGUGGCCGCCACCUUUUCGUUCCCCUAUAAAUUCAGGACAACCUUGGAAUCAAUCAAGCAACAGCCAGCCCAUCUCGUCUCUCUCGAUCACACCUCCCAUACCUACUUAGCCAGUGAGCAGUAGCCGUUUCCGUCGAAGAUGUCGUCGGUCACCAGCGCCCACCUCGACCACAAGCUCGCCCUCGCCAAACGCUGCUCCAGAGGUCGGUCGGUGAUUAAUCAGCAUCCACUCCUUCAGAGUUCAGUUGAGCAUGUACCGGAGCAUCCAUCUUGAUACUAGCGACGUAAUUUUUGUUGUUGUUGUUUGGCAGAGGCGACGCUUGCCGGAGCCAAGGCGGCGGCCGUCGCCACCGUCGCGUCUGCAGUCCCGACGGUACGUACGUACGUGGUGGAGCAGUGCUCCUUUACUACUGUUGUUUAGUCUCUGCUAACUGAUCGGCAUGUGUGGUGCAGCUGGCCAGCGUGCGGAUGCUGCCGUGGGCCAAGGCCAACCUCAACCCCACCGGCCAGGCCCUCAUCGUCUGCACCGUCGCCGGGAUGGCCUACUUCAUCGCCGCCGACAAGACCAUCCUGUCGUUGGCCAGGAGGCACUCGUACGAGAGCGCACCCGACCACCUCAAGGACACCUCCUUCCAUGGCGCCGCCGCCGUAGCCGCCCAUCCCCGUCCGUCGGCAUUCUUCAGGCCAUGAGCUAGUGUCCUGAUAAAGUGAUAAUGUAUGCAUCGAUCGUUGUCAGAGUCGCAAGGAACUGCUGCUGCAGGCAUGAAUAUCGACUCUCCAUAUAUAAUCAACGUUGUACACUGCUGCAGGCAUUUUGAAUAUUAUAUCCCCCGCAUCGCCGAUGAACACCGCAUCCUCCAAAAUGGGGAUAAUUGACGAUAAUCCCUUUGUUGGCCGAUCCUUGCUCACAGGCCCCAAAAUGAAGAGGGGCCAAAACCUAGAAAGAGGAUGCCUCACUCUGUAACUUUUACUUGCAAAUGUGCUAUAAAAUCAUCGCCACGCCGCGAUGUAACAGACGGUAUCGUCGUUGGACGCACAUCCUUUACACCUGUCUACCGAAUGAAACUGAGGGCUCGAUCCCGGUUUCACAUAAGCAGUUUACAACAGACUAUCAAAAGAGCCCGCACGUUGAAACAGGAAAAAAAAGAAUACCAUUCAUUCUAAUUCUAUAAAUUAAAUCAAUGACGUUAUGAUAAUUUAUACCAGGAAAGAUGUAAUUAAAAUAGUCAUUAAAAGUUUCAACAUUUUGCAUGCAUUCUAGCCAUUUUUUUCAUCCUUCUCUCUUUCUACUUCUUCCUAAUUUUUAUAAAGAAAUUUUAAAAAAGAAAUUAAAGGACAGAGAGAGAAAGCAGUAGUGCAGAGCCCAUCGGGCCUGCCAAGGCUCAGGCGGACCCACUCCUAAAUCUCCUAACCUGUCGAUUUCCAGCUCCCCCUCCUCCCUUUCACCUCGCGCCGCCAGGGGAGAGAGCCACCUCCUGCUCUGUUUCAUUCUGUUUAUCUUUUUAUACAAAAGAACAAAUGGCUUUCGGGUGGCAAUUAUCUAUGGAAAACGUUUCUUUUCAGUCGGACGAUAAAAGGUAUGCAUAAGCCGCCUCCCCUGCCAACCACAUGUACAGGACAGGGGUCGCUGCUGCGUUUGCGCGGGCGCUCCUGCUUCUGCUCCUGCUCCUACUCGUGCGAUGAAGCAAAAUGGCUGCUCUCGACGUGUUGGGCUCCCACAUGUGUCUCUCUUUUUAUGUACGCUGCAUGGCAUCAAUUUGUUUUUCUUUUGCGGUGGAAAUGCACAUGUAAAUGCAUUUCUCUUGUGUACUACCUGGUAGGCUUGGUAUCAGAAAUUUUUUUAAACGGUUAGAGCAUCUUCAACACGUGCGCAACUGACGACGCGUAAAAAAUAUUUUACAUCGCAGGAAUAGUAUUUUUUUACGCGUCGCAGAACGCUGACUCCAGCGGCCGCAAAAAAAAUACGCGCGCCGCUCCAGCAGAAGCAUUAAAAAUAAAGCUGGUGAGCAUAGAUAGUCUUGAUAGAUAGAAAUCACUCCUCCGUCUAUACAUAGUCAGAUAGUCUAGAUAAUUCAUAGAUAGAGUUACUCCUCAUCGAUAGUUCAUAGUAAAUAAUAAAAAAAUGAUAAAACACGAUAUACUACUCCUUGUCGUCUUCCUCCGAUGCGCCGGUGUCCGAUUCCUCCGUCAUGAUGAAGGCGUCAGCCCUACGUUCGUCCUCGGAGGACCAAGUCGACUAUUCCUUGAGCUCAAUCUGGAAGAGUGAGGCUUGCUUCCGCAUACGCCUGUCUUUAAGAUAGGCGGCUUACUCCGUCCUCCUUUGCGCGAAGAAUUUACGCUUGUCGAGGGCGUCCUGCGGGAACUGUCGGUGCCACUCCGCCAUGGUAUGCUCGUCCAUCUCAGCGAUGCCGAGGCGGUGCUCCCACCUCCGGUUCCGACGACGGUCCUCUUCGGUGACAACCAUCGUUGGUGAAGUGGCACCGUUGUGGGUGAUACUGAUGCUCCACCACAAAUCGGGGCACAUUGCAAGGCCGACACCAUCGUUGUUGUAACUUGGGGCGCGAUGUUGCAUUGCGUGCACCAAGUGGUGGCAAAGUCUAGCUGCCACAGGUCGAGGCCCAAAGUUGCAGGGCCGACACCGUCGUUGCUGCAACUUAGACACGUGUUGCAUGGCAGACGUCGAGUUUUGCAAGGCGGACACCAUCGUUCUUGCAAUUCAGAAACGAUGUUGUCUGGCAAGCGCCAAGUUGUUGCAAAGGCUAGCCGCCAUAAGUUGGAGUACAACGAUGCAAGGCUAACACCAUCAUUACUGCAACUCAGAUGCAAUGAUGCAUGGCAAUCACCGAGUUUUUGCAAGGCCGCACCUUCGUUGUUGCAAGUCCAUCACAAUGUCGUGUGGUUGACGCCGAGUUGUUGGAAAGGUUAGGCGCCACAAGUCGGAGUGCGACAUUACUAGGCAUGCACCGUUGCUGCUUUAAGUAGGCAUGAUGUUCCAUGACAGGAGCCGAGUUGUCGCAAAAGCUUAUCCUCCAUAAGUAGGAAUUAUGCCCUAGAGGCAAUAAUAAAUGUAUGGUUAUUAUUAUAAUUCCUGUAUCAAGAUAAUAGUUUAUUAUCCAUGCUAUAAUUGUAUUGAAUGAAGACUCAUUUACAUGUGUGGAUACAUAGACAAAACACCGUCCCUAGCAUGCCUCUAGUCGGCUAGCCAGUUGAUCGAUGAUAGUCAGUGUCUUCUGAUUAUGAACAAGGUGUUGUUGCUUGAUAACUGGAUCGCGUCAUUGGGAGAAUCACGUGAUGGACUAGACCCAAACUAAUAGACGUAGCAUGUUGAUCGUGUCAUUUUGUUGCUACUGUUUUCUGCGUGUCAAGUAUUUAUUCCUAUGACCAUGAGAUCAUAUAACUCACUGACACUGGAGGAAUGCUUUGUGUGUAUCAAACGUCGCAACGUAACUGGGUGACUAUAAAGAUGCUCUACAGGUAUCUCCGAAGGUGUUAGUUGAGUUAGUAUGGAUCAAGACUGGGAUUUGUCACUCCGUGUGACGGAGAGGUAUCUCGGGGCCCACUCGGUAAUACAACAUCACACACAAGCCUUGCAAGCAAUGUGACUUAGUGUAAGUUGCGGGAUCUUGUAUUACGGAAUGAGUAAAGAGACUUGCCGGUAAACGAGAUUGAAAUAGGUAUGCGGAUACUGACGAUCGAAUCUCAGGCAAGUAACAUACCGAAGGACAAAGGGAAUGACAUACGGGAUUAUACGAAUCUUUGGCACUGAGGUUCAAACGAUAAGAUCUUCGUAGAAUAUGUAGGAUCCAAUAUGGGCAUCCAGGUCCCGCUAUUGGAUAUUGACCGAGGAGUCACUCGGGUCAUGUCUACAUAGUUCUCGAACCCGCAGGGUCUGCACACUUAAGGUUCGACGAUGUUUUAUGCGUAUUUGAGUUAUAUGGUUGGUUACCGAAUGUUGUUCGGAGUCCCGGAUGGGAUCACGGACGUCACGAGGGUUUCCGGAAUGGUCCGGAGACGAAGAUUGAUAUAUAGGAUGACCUCAUUUGGUUACCGGAAAGUUUCCGGGCAUUACCGGAAAAGUUUCGGACUCAUCGGUAGUGUACCGGGAGUGCCGGGAGGGGUGACAGGGACCAUCAAGAGGGGUGUCACGCCCCAAGGGGUCUCAUGGGCUAUGGGAAGAGAUAAACCAGCCCCUAGUGGGCUGGAAUAAGUUCCCACUAAGGCCCAUAAGGUUUGAGAAGGGAAAAACAAAAGGUGGAAAGAGUUUCCAAGUGGGAAGGUGGAAUCCUACUCCAAGUAGGAUUGGAAUAGGACUCCUCCACCUCAAAUUUCGCCCAAACCUUGAGGGUUUGAGGGUGCCUCCUCCCCUCCCUCCCUCCUAUAUAUACUGAGGUAUUAGGGCUGAUUUGAGACAACUUUUGCCACGGCAGCCCGACCACAUACCUCCACAGUUUUACCUCUAGAUCGCGUUUCUGCGGAGCUCGGGCGGAGCCCUGCUGAGACAAGAUCAUCACCAACCUCCGGAGCGCCGUCACGCUGCCGGAGAACUCUUCUACCUCUCCGUCUCUCUUGCUGGAUCAAGAAGGCCGAGAUCAUCGUCGAGCUGUACGUGUGCUGAACGCGGAGGUGCCGUCCGUUCGGCACUAGAUCGUGGGACUGAUCGCGGGGCAGAUCGAGGGACGUGAGGACGUUCCACUACAUCAACCGCGUUCACUAACGCUUCUGCUGUACGGUCUACAAGGGUACGUAGAUCACACAUCCCCUCUCGUAGAUGGACAUCACCAUGAUAGGUCUUCGUGCGCGUAGGAAAAUUUUCGUUUCCCAUGCGACGUUCCCCAACAGUGGCAUCAUGAGCUAGGUUCAUGCGUAGAUGUCUUCUCGAGUAGAACACAAAAGUUUUUUGUGGGCGGUGAUGUGCGUUUUGCUGCCCUCCUUAGUCUUUUCUUGAUUCCGCGGUAUUGUUGGAUUGAAGCGGCUUGGACCGACAUUACUCGUACGCUUACGAGAGACUGGUUUCAUCGUUACGAGUAACCCCGUUGCUCAAAGAUGACUAGCAAGUGUCGGUUUCUCCAACUUUAGUUGAAUCGGAUUUGACCGAGGAGGUCCUUGGAUGAGGUUAAAUAGCAACUCAUAUAUCUCCGUUGUGGUGUUUGCGUAAGUAAGAUGCGAUCCUACUAGAUACCCAUGGUCACCACGUAAAACAUGCAACAACAAAAUUAGAGCACGUCUAACUUGUUUUUGCAUGGUAUGCUUGUGAUGUGAUAUGGCCAAUGAUGUGAUGUGAUAUAUUGGAUGUAUGAGAUGAUCAUGUUGUAAUAGAAAUAUCGACUUACACGUCGAUGGUACGGCAACCGGCAGGAGCCAUAGGGUUGUCUUUAUACUAACGUGUGUGCUUGCAGAUGCGUUUACUUUUUUGCUAGGAUGUAGCUUUAGUAGUAAUAGCAUGAGUAGCACGACAACCCCGAUGGCAACACGUUGAUGGAGAUCAUGGUGUGGCGCCGGUGACAAGAAGAUCGUGCCGGUGCUUUGGCGAUGGAGAUCAAGAAGCACGUGAUGAUGGCCAUAUCAUGUCACUUAUGAAUUGCAUGUGAUGUUAAUCCUUUUAUGCACCUUAUUUUGCUUAGAACGACGGUAGCAUUAUGAGGUGAUCUCUCACUAAAAAUUUCAAGACGAAAUUGUGUUCUCCCCGACUGUGCACCAUUGCUACAGUUCGUCGUUUCGAGACACCACGUGAUGAUCGGGUGUGAUAGACUCAACGUUCACAUACAACGGGUGCAAAACAGUUGCGCACGCGGAACACUCGGGUUAAGCUUGACGAGCCUAGCAUGUGCAGACAUGGCCUCGGAACACAUGAGACCGAAAGGUCGAGCAUGAAUCGUAUAGUUGAUAUGAUUAGCAUAGAGAUGCUUACCACUGAAACUAUUCUCGACUCACGUGAUGAUCGGACUUGAGAUAGUGGAUUUGGAUCAUGUACCACUCAAAUGACUAGAGAGAUGUACUUUUUGAGUGGGAGUUCUUAAGUAAUAUGAUUAAUUGAACUAAUUUUCAUGAACAUAGUCUAAUGGUCUUUGCGAAUUACGAUGUACCUUGCGCUAUAGCUCUACUGUUUUUAUAUGUUCCUAGAGAAAAUUUAGUUGAAAAUUGAUAGUAGCAAACUUUGCAGACUGAGUCUGUAAAACCGAGGAUUGUCCUCGUUGCUACGCAGAAGGCUUAUGUCCUUAAUGCACCACUCGGUGUGCUGCACCUCGAGCGUUGUCUGUGGAUGCUAUGAACAUCCGACAUACACGUUUCUGAUGACUACACAAUAGUUCAGUGCAAAAUACUUAUUGGCUUAGAAGCAAGGCACCGAAAACGUUGUAAAACGUCACGGAACAUAAGUGAUGUUCUAAAGAGAUGAAAUUGUGAUUUCAUGCUUGUGCCCUUAUUAAGAGGUACGAGACCUCCAACAAGAUUCUUUGUCCACAAAGUAAAGGAGAAAAGCUCAAUCGUUGAGCGUGUGCUCAGAUUGUCUAAGUACGACAAUCACUUGAAUCAAGUGGGAGUUAAUCUUCCAGAUGAGAUAGUGAUGGUUCUCCAAAGUCACUGCCACCAAGCUGUGAGAGCUUCGUGAUGAACUAUAACAUAUCAAGGAUAGAUACAAUGAUCCUUGAGCGAUUCGCGAUGUUUGACACUCCGAAAGUAGAAAUCAAGAAGGAGCGUCAAUAGUUGAUGGUUUGUAAAACCACUAAGUUUCAAGAAAGGCAAGGGCUAGAAGGGAUACUUCGUGAAACGGCAAAACAGUUGCUGCACUAAUGAAGAGACCCAAGAUUAAACCCAAACCCGAUACUAAGUGCUUCUGUAAUGAGGGGAACAGUCACUGAGGCGGAGCAACUCUAGAUACUUGGUAGAUAAGAAGGCUGGCGAAAGUCGAAAGAAGUGUAUUUGAUAUACAUGAUGUUGAUGUGUACUUUACUAGUACUCCAAGUAGCACGAGGGUAUUGGAUACCGGUUCGGUUGCUAAGUGAUUAGUAACGCGAAAUGAAAGUUGCGGCAUAAAUGGAGACUAGCUAAAGGCGAGGUGACGAUACGUGUUGGAAGUGUUUCCAAGGUUGAUAUGAUCAAACGUCGCACGCUCCCUCUACCAUCGGGAUUGGUGUCAAACCUAAAUAAUUGUUAUUGGUGCUUGCGUUAAGCAUGAACAUGAUUGGAUCGUGUUUAUUGCAAUACGAUUAUUCAUUUAAAGAGAAUAAUGGUUACUCUAUUUUCUUGAAUAAUCACCUUCAAUGAAUCUCGAUCGUAGUGUUACACAUGUUCAUGAUAUUGGUGCCAAAAGACACGAGGUAAUGAUGAUAGUACCACUUACUUGUGGCACUGCCGCUUGAGUCAUGUUGGUGUAAAUUGCAUGAAGAGGCUCCAUGUUGAUGGAUCUUUGUACUCACUUGUUUUUCGAAUCACUAGUGACAUGCAAAUCAUACCACAUGAGCAAGGCCUUGUUUUCAUUGAGAUGAAACAAGAUAGUAACUUGUUGGAAGUGAUACAUUCUGAUGUAUGCAGUCCAAUGGGUGCUGAGGCACGCAGUGGAUAUCAUUAUGUUCUUACUUCACUGACGAUUUGAGUAGAUACAGGAGUAUUUACUUAAUGAAUCACAAGUCUGAAAUAUUGAAAAGUUCAAUUCUGUUUCGGAGUGAAGUUCGUCGUAACAAGAGGAUAAACUGUCUACGAUAUGAUCAUAGAAAUGAAUAUCUGAGUUACGAUUUUUGGUACGCAGUUAAGACAAUGUGGAAAUUGUUUCGCAGUUCAUGCCACCUGGAACAUCAUAGUGUGAUGAUGUGUCUGAACGUCAUAGCCACGCACUAUUUGGAAUGGUGCAUACUAUGAUGUCUCUUAUCGAAUUACCACUAUCGUUUAUGGGUUAUGCAUUAGAGACAACCGCACUCACUUUAAACAGGGCACCGCGUAUUUCCGUUGAGAUGACACAGUAUAGACUGAGGUUUAGAGAAAUCUAAAUUGUCGUUUCUUGAAAGUUUGGGGCUUCGACACUUAUGUGAAAAAGUUUCAGUCUGAUAAGCUCGAACCCAAAGCGGAUAAAUGCAUCUUCAUAGGAUAUCCAAAACAGUUGGGUACAUCUCCUAUCUCAGAUCCGAAAGCAAAGUGUUUGUUUCUAGAAACGGAUCCUUUCUAGAGGAAAGGUUUCUCUCGAAAGAAUUGAGUGGGAGGGUAGUAGAACUUGAUGAGGUUAUUGAACCAUCACUUCAACCAGUGUGUAGCAGGGCGCAGGAAGUUGUUCCUGUGGCGCCUACACCAAUUGAAGUGGAAGCUGAUGAUGGUGAUCAUCAAGCAUCGGAUCAAGUUACUAUAAGCCUCGUAGGUUGACAAGGUCGCAUACUACUACAGAGUGGUACGGUAACCCUGUCUUGGAGGUCAUGUUGUUGAGCAACAGUGAACCUACGAGUUAUGGAGAAAGCGAUGGUGGGCCCAGAUUCCGACAAAUGGCUGGAAGCCAUGAAAUCCGAGAGAGGAUCCAUGUAUGAAAACAAAGUGUAGACUUUGAAAGAACUACUUGAUGGUCAUAAGACUAUUGAGUAAAGAUGGAUCUUUAAAAGAAGACAGACGAUGAUGGUGAUAAGUCACUAUUAAGAAAAGCUCGACUUGUCGCAAAGAUGUUUUCGACAAGAUCAAACAGUUGACUAUGAUGAGACUUUCUCACUUGUAGCGAUGCUAAAGGUCUGUUAGAAUUAUGUUAGUUGUUGAUGCAUUAUUUAUGAAAUAUUGCACGUAGGAUGUCAAAACAUUGUUUUCUUGACGGUUUCCUUGAGCAAACAUUGUAUGUGAUACAACCAGAAGGUUUUGUCGAUCCUAAAGAUACUAGCAAGUAUGCAAGCUCCAGUGAUCCUUCAAUGGACUGGUGCAAGCAUCUCGGAGUUGGAAUAUACACUUUGAUGAGAUGAUCAAAGAUUUUGGGUUUGUAAAAGGUUUAUGAGAAACUUGUAUUUCCAAAGAAGUGAGUGGGAGCACUAUAGAAUUUCUGAUAAGUAUAUGUGGUUGACAUAUUGUGGAUCAGAAGUAAUGUAGAAUUUCUGUAAAACAUACAAGGUUGUUUGAAAGGAGUUUUCAAAGGAAUACCUGGAUUGAGCUACUUGAACGUUGAGCAUCAAAGAUCUAUGGAGAUAGACCGAAAGCGCUUAAUGGAAGUUUCAACAAGAUGCAUGCCUUGACAAGUUUUUGAAGGAGUUCAAAAUAGAUCAGCAAAGAAGGAGUUCUUGGUUGCGUUGUGAGGUGUGAAUUUGAGUAAGACUCAAAACCCGACCCCGACAGAAUAAAGAGAAUAGACGAAGGUCGUCUUCUAUGCCUUAGCCGUAGAAUCUAAAGUAUGCCAUGUUGUGUACCGCACCUGAUGUGUGCCUUGACUCAAAGUAUGUUGAGAGGUACAGAGAGUGAUCCAUGAUUGAAUCACUAGCAGCGGUCAAAAUUUAUCCUUAGUAACUAAUGGACUAAGGAAUUUUUCUCGAUUAUGGAGGUGGUUAAAGAGUUCGUCGUAAAGGGUUACGUCGAUGCAAGCUUUGACACUAAUCCGAAUAACUAUGAGUAGUGAAACGGAUUCGUAUAGUAGAGUAGAUAUUUGGAGCAUUUCCGAAUAGCACGUAGUAGCAGCAUCUAUAAGAUGACAUAAAUAUUUGUAAAGAACGCACGGAUCUGAAAGUUUCAGAACCGUUGACUAAAACCUCUCUCACGAGCAAGACGUGAUCAGACCCCAUAACUAUAUGGGUGUUGGAUUCGUUGGAAUCACAUGGUGAUGUGAACUAGAUUAUUGACUCUAGUGCAAGUGGGAGACUGUUGGAAAUAUGCCCUGGAGGCAAUAAUAAAUUAGUUAUUAUUAUAUUUCUUUGUUCAUGAUAAUCGUUUAUUAUCCAUGCUAUAAUUGUAUUGAUUGGAAACACAAUACUUGUGUGGAUACAUAGACAAAACACUGUCCCUAGUAAGCCUCUAGUUGACUAGCUCGUUGAUCAAACAUGGCCAAGGUUUCCUGGCCAUAGGCAAGUGUUGUUACUUGAUAACGGGAUCACAUCAUUAGGAGAAUCAUGUGAUGGACUAGACCCAAACUAAUAGACGUAGCAUGUUGAUCGUGUCAUUUUGUUGCUACUAUUUUCUGCGUGUCAAGUAUUUGUUCCUAUGACCAUGAGAUCAUAUAACUCACUGACACCGGAGGAAUGCUUUGUGUGUAUCAAACGUCGCAACGUAACUGGGUGACUAUAAAGAUGCUCUACAGGUAUCUCCAAAGGUGUUAGUUGAGUUAGUAUGGAUCGAGACUGGGAUUUGUCACUCCGUGUGACGGAGAGGUAUCUCGGGGCCCACUCGGUAAUACAACAUCACACACAAGCCUUGCAAGCAAUGUGACUUAGUGUAAGUUGCGGGAUCUUGUAUUACGGAACGAGUAAAGAGACUUGCCGGUAAACGAGAUUGAAAUAGGUAUGCGGAUACUGACGAUCGAAUCUCGGGCAAGUAACAUACCGAAGGACAAAGGGAAUGACAUACGGGAUUAUAUGAAUCCUUGGCACUGAGGUUCAAACGAUAAGAUCUUCGUAGAAUAUGUAGGAUCCAAUAUGGGCAUCCAGGUCCCGCUAUUGGAUAUUGACCGAGGAGUUACUCGGGUCAUGUCUACAUAGUUCUCGAACCCGCAGGGUCUGCACACUUAAGGUUCGACGAUGUUUUAUGCGUAUUUGAGUUAUAUGGUUGGUUACCGAAUGUUGUUCGGAGUCCCGGAUGGGAUCACGGACGUCACGAGGGUUUCCGGAAUGGUCCGGAGACGAAGAUUGAUAUAUAGGAUGACCUCAUUUGGUUACCGGAAAGUUUCCGGGCAUUACCGGAAAAGUUUCGGACUCAUCGGUAGUGUACCGGGAGUGCCGGGAGGGGUGACGGGGACCAUCAAGAGGGGUGUCACGCCCCAAGGGGUCUCAUGGGCUAUGGGAAGAGAUAAACCAGCCCCUAGUGGGCUGGAAUAAGUUCCCACUAAGGCCCAUAAGGUUUGAGAAGGGAAAAACACAAGGUGGAAAGAGUUUCCAAGUGGGAAGGUGGAAUCCUACUCCAAGUAGGAUUGGAGUAGGACUCCUCCACCUCAAAUUUCGCCCAAACCUUGAGGGUUUGAGGGUGCCUCCUCCCCUCCCUCCCUCCUAUAUAUACUGAGGUAUUAGGGCUGAUUUGAGACAACUUUUGCCACGGCAGCCCGACCACAUACCUCCACGGUUUUACCUCUAGAUCGCGUUUCUGCGGAGCUCGGGCGGAGCCCUGCUGAGACAAGAUCAUCACCAACCUCCGGAGCGCCGUCACGCUGCCGGAGAACUCUUCUACCUCUCCGUCUCUCUUGCUGGAUCAAGAAGGCCGAGAUCAUCGUCGAGCUGUACGUGUGCUGAACGCGGAGGUGCCGUCCGUUCGGCACUAGAUCGUGGGACUGAUCGCGGGACGGUUCGCGGGGCGGAUCGAGGGACGUGAGGACGUUCCACUACAUCAACCGCGUUCACUAACGCUUCUGCUGUACGGUCUACAAGGGUACGUAGAUCACACAUCCCCUCUGGUAGAUGGACAUCACCAUGAUAGAUCUUCAUACGCGUAGGAAAAUUUUCGUUUCCCAUGCGACGUUCCCCAACAACUGCCGCUUAGGUCAUAUUGGUGUAAAACGCAUGAAGAAACUCCAUGCUGAUGGAUUUUUGGAGUCACUUGACUUUGAUUCACUUGACACGUGCGAACCAUGCCUCAUGGGCAAGAUGACUAAGACUCCGUUCUCCGAAACAAUGGAGCGUGCAAGUGACUUGUUGGAAAUCAUACAUACCGAUGUGUGUGGUCCAAUGAGCGUAGAGGCACGCGGCGGAUAUCGUUAUUUCCUCACCUUCACUGACGAUUUAAGUAGAUAUGGUUAUGUCUACUUGAUGAAGCACAAGUCUGAAACAUUUGAAAAGUUCAAGCAAUUUCAGAGUGAAGUGGAAAAUCAUCGUAACAAGAAGAUCAAAUUCCUACGGUCUGAUUGUGGGGGUGAAUAUCUGAGUUUCGAGUUUGGUGCUCACUUAAGACAAUGUGGAAUUGUUUCGCAGUUAACACCGCCUGGAACACCACAGCGUAAUGGUGUGUCCGAACGUCAUAAUCGUACUCUGUUAGAGAUGGUGCGAUCUAUGAUGUCUCUUACUGAUUUGCCGUUAUCAUUUUGGGGUUAUGCAUUAGAAACAGCUGCAUUCACUUUAAAUAGGGCACCAUCAAAAUCCGUUGAGACGACGCCAUACGAACUGUGGUAUGGCAAAAGGCCAAAGUUGUCAUUUCUUAAAGUUUGGGGAUGUGAUGCUUAUGUCAAAAAGCUUCAGCCUGAAAAGCUGGAACCCAAAGCGGAAAAGUGCGUCUUCAUAGGUUACCCAAAAGAGACAGUUGGGUACACCUUCUAUCUCAAAUCCGAAGGCAAAGUGUUUGUUGCUAAGAACGGAACUUUUCUCGAGAAGGAGUUUCUCUCGAGAGAAUUGAGUGGGAGGAAGAUAGAACUUGACGAGGUUGUCGAACCUCUCAUCCCUCUGGAUGGUGGCGCAGGGCAGGGGAAACCUCUGUCGUUGCGACGCCGGUUGAGGAGGAAGUUAAUGAUGAUGAUCAUGAAACUCCAGUUCAAGUUUCUGUUGAACCCCGCAGGUCGACGAGAUCACGCGCUGCUCCAGAGUGGUACGGUAAUCCCGUCUUAUCAAUCAUGUUGUUAGACAACAAUGAACCUGCAAAUUAUGAAGAAGCAAUGGUGGGCCCAGAUUCCGACAAAUGGCUGGAAGCCAUGAAAUCCGAGAUAGGAUCCAUGUAUGAGAACAAAGUGUGGACUUUGGAGAUACUACCUGAGGGCCGCAAGGCUAUUCAGAACAAAUGGAUCUUUAAGAAGAAGACGGACGCUGACGGUAAUGUGACCGUUUAUAAAGCUCGACUUGUGGCAAAGGGUUUUUCACAAGUUCCAGGGAUUGACUACGAUGAGACUUUCUCUCCCGUGGCAAUGGUUAAGUCCGUCAGAAUCAUGUUAGCAAUAGCUGCAUUUUUCGAUUAUGAAAUCUGGCAGAUGGAUGUCAAAACGGCGUUCCUUAACGGUUUCCUUAAGGAAGAGUUGUAUAUGAUGCAACCCGAAGGUUUUGUUGAUCCUAAAAAUGCUGACAAGGUGUGCAAACUCCAGCGAUCCAUUUAUGGACUGGUGCAAGCAUCUCGGAGUUGGAACAAACGCUUUGAUGAGGUGAUCAAAGCAUUUGGGUUUAUACAAGUGGUUGGAGAAUCUUGUAUCUACAAGAAAGUGAGUGGGAGCUCUGUGGCGUUUCUAAUAUUAUAUGUGGAUGACAUAUUACUGAUUGGAAACAACAUAGAGCUUUUGGAGAGCAUAAAAGGUUACUUGAAUAAAAGUUUCUCUAUGAAGGACCUAGGAGAAGCUGCUUACAUUCUAGGCAUUAAGAUCUAUAGGGAUAAAUUAUGAUGGCGAGGGCUUGGGCGCGGUAAUGGCAGUAGGGAGCGCAAGUAAGGGGGGACGGAUGGCGAGGGCUUGGGCGCGGUAAUGGCAGUAGGGAGGCGGGGGAGGACGAAAGGUUUGGUAGAUUUCGUGUAAAUUAUGAUGGGGUCGGGCUAUCGUGAGUUCCCAUAUUCGUCCCAUAUUUUGGUUGUAUAUGAGGGGUGAGGGUCAGCCUUAGCGUUUGAUUCCCAGUCUAAGAAGUUCGGGUCGCUUUUCUGUGACCAGUCAAUAACCGGGCGUUUGAGACGGGGUUAAGAGGUUCGGCUGUAAGAUCAUCUAUAAUCGGACCCCUCAAACCCUCGGCAGUCCUCUCGAUCGCUGUCCGAUCACAAAAUUGCGAUCCAGACGGGCCUCUCAAACCGACCUAAAACGCACGGGCUGACUCUCACCCCCCAUUUUUAGCCUAAAUAUGAGGCGGAUAUGGGGGAGCCCGGGCGCGCCCAGGCACGCCUGCCAUGUCGUCCUGACGGCUUGGCCCCACGCAGACUCACCGGGAAACAUGACGGCCUGCGGGCACCUCGUCCGUCGGUGCAGUGUAAAUGCCGCGUGGCGCCGCUUCGGAUCCCAGCCCAAGGUCGGGGCCGACUAUUUAAGCCGGUCGGUGCACCUAACCCUGUCUCAUCCGCCUCCUCCUUCUCUGUGCCGCCGCCCGAGCCCGUCUGCCUUCUCUCGCAGUUCCCUCUCCGCCAGGAUGGUCCGGUGACUCAUCACCACCUAUGCGCAGCUCACUCCGGAAGGGUGCCUUCAAAUCGAGGCGGAGAUCCAGGCUCGCCGCACCUCCCGCGUCGUUGCGGGUCUCCAUUCGAACUCGCCGGAUACAGAGAAGGAGGAGGAGGAGCAUCAGUCGAAGGCCAUGGAGGAGGAAGACCCGAAGGAGGAGGCUCCCGGCUAUAACAUGGCGGAGGCGGAGGCGGAGUUUGCCGUCGCCCAAUCGAAGAUGGCGGAGCAGGUGGCCAACCUGGAUUCCAUCCGGGAUGAGGCCGAGAUGGAGGCCAACCGUCGGCUCAUCCGGUAGAGGCAUGCGGAGGCUGACGGCCUCUUCGAUGAGCUGGACACGGAGAUUGAGGCAAAGGAGGCCGCAACGUAGCAGCCAGAGGUGCCGGAGGGAACGGAGCUGUGGCAGGCGGCCAUUUGUCCGUUAGAGGGCACGGAGAUCGUCGGUAUCUACGACGAGGAGUGGAUAGGUUCUAUGUAGUACGUAGGUUUCAUAUCUUUCAUGCUUUUAUAUUGAUUUGAGGAUCCUAAUAUGAGAUGUUCGGAUGUAGAAUACAUUAUUUGAGACGUGAUCGGUCAAUGUCCACGAUCGCACCCUGUCCGCGGGUGUUUGAGGGUCCGGAUUUGCAAGGUCCGAUUGUAAAUGCUCUAACCAACUCAAUACCUUAUUUUGACUUAAGUUUGUUUUUCGUAAACUUGAUAAAAUUCUGAAAAGUUGAACUUAAGUCAAACUAUAACGGAGGGAGUGCUUUAUUUUAUUUUCUUGCCGGUCUUUUUUAGCUGUCCCACAAAACGGAACUUAAUUAUUUUCUUUGUUGUGCAUAUUGCCUGCCAUAGAUACAUCACACAUAGUAAAUACCAAGUCAAGAAACUUUGAUGUUGGGUCAAGCGGCCACUAAUGACCGUCGUCGCCUGAUGGUGACCUGAGCCGCUGGAAGACGUCCCGUUGCCGGAGGUUCUCGCGGAGGCGGUGCGCGGCGAGUACGCGAUCCGGGACGUAGUGGCAGAGGCACCACUGCAGCCGGUGGCCGAGGUUGGGCAUGCAGACCGGGCGGCGGAACCCGAUCCAGCGCGCCGCCGCGCCGGCGUACGCGUCCGACGUCGGCACGAUCAGCCGCGACAGGAGGCCUGCCCCCCGCGUCACCAUGUUGGUCACCAUCUUCGUGUCCACGUACAACGGGGCCUGGCACUGCACGUCGAUUCCUUUGCCGCUGUACUCGACGUAGAGGCUCCUGGAGAAGUGAGACACGUAGCGCUUGGUAGCGGCGUAGACGGAGUAGAGCGGGUAGGAGGGCAGCGCCUCCGCCGCGCCGGAGCCGAUGUUGACGACGGCGCCCCUCCCGCGCCCCACCAUGCCGGGCAGAACGGCCGCCGUCACCUCCGUCACGGCGCACAGGUUCACCCGGAUCAUCUUCACCCACGCAUCCGCGUCGGCCUCGUGGAGGUACGUUGCGUGUGGCGUCGCCACGCCGGCGUUGUUCACCAGCACGCCCACCUCCAGCCCCUCCACCGCCUGCCGGAGCCGCCCCAUCUCCUCCUCCCCUGCGGAAACACGAUCGAUCAGUAUAGCUAGCACGUGCACGCAGUGGGCAGUUCUGUUCUUUGUGCGUGCUGCGUGGCUGGUGCCUCACCUUGAGGAGUGGAGACGAGGGAGAAGUCGAACAGCACGGUCUUGGUCUGCACGCCGUGGGCGUCGGAGGCGGUUCCGGCGAUGUCCUGGAGCUUGGCAGGGUCGCGGCCGACGAGGACGAGGUUUAGGCCGCGCCGCGCCAGCUCCAGGGCCAUGGAGCGGCCUAUGCCGGACGUCGGGCCGGUGACCACGGCCCACGCCCCGUAGCGGCGGCGAAGGUCCUUGGGCUGGCGCAGACUGAGCGCGAGGCCGAAGGUGUGGAGGAGGCGGCACGCGACGGCGGCGACGUAGAGGGCGCCGAGGAUGGCCAUCGAGACGAACCAUGCCGGCUGCUGCCGGAGCAGAGUGUCUGCGCCCAUCCGCCCGAGCUCUUCCUUCCCCACCGGAGUAGUGCGUGUCGGUCCAGGAUUUUUUAGAUUCGAGAGGCUCUGCAUUUGUCACCACGUCCCGCGAAUUUUAAACAAAAAGCUGUAUCGCCAUCAACGACCUACCAACAAACUACGAGUAGUACUCGAUUUGAUGCUAAAAAAAGAACUAGUACUCUAAUUGACCGCGCGUAAAGCCUAACCGAUGUGUAUGGGUAGGGUCUGCGAUCUACUCCUUCCGUUCCUAAAUAUAAGUAUUUUUAAAAAAUUCACUAAAAAACUACAUAUGGAUGUGUAGACAUAUUUUAGAGUGUAGAUUCAAUCAUUUUGCUUCGUAUGUAGUCUUUUAAUAAAAUCAUUUUGUCGUAUCUUCAUGCAUGUUAAUCAGUCUCUGUUUCAAGUAGUCAAUCAAGGAGAUUAGUUUGAUCGAGAUGUAAGUAUAUAUAUGUAACUGUUGAUUCAUGCCGUUCAGCUGGCGAGCGUCCGGAUGCUGCCGUGGGCCAAGGCGAACCUGAACCCCACCGGCCAGGCGCUCAUCGUCUGCACCGUCGCCGGGAUGGCAUACUUCGUCGCCGCCGACAAGACCAUCCUGUCGUUGGCGAGGAGGCACUCGUACGAGAGCGCGCCCGACCACCUCAAGGACACCUCCUUCCAUGGCGCCGCCGCGGUUCGUCCGGCAUUCUUAAGGCCAUGAGCUAAUGCAUGCAUCGAUCGUCGUGAGUGUCCCAGAAACUGCUCCUGCAGGCAUGCAUAUCUACUAUCAUCAUGUUCAUCCGGGUAUGUUCUUUAGGCCAUGAAUAUCUACUAUCAUCAUGUUUUAUAUUCAUGACAAAUCCGGGAGUAGAUAUCCGGGUAUGUUCUUUAUGCACAUCGAUCAUACGAUACAAAUUGUUUGAAUUCAACAGUUCAAGACAAAUCAAAACAAAUGAUAAUUCAACAAUCCGGACAUGCCAACAUGGUCCGACGGUGCAAUUCGCGUCGACGGAAUGAUGGACGGGAUGCGGGGUUCCUGCCGCGGCGAAGGGAGGGGGAGGGGGGGAGCUGCUAUUUCAUAUUCGCAGCUCCCUACGAUGCCGCCGCCGCAUCUUCAGGGUGAUAUUCUCCGGCAUGCACGACGAAGUCGAGGAUCGGACAUCGACGAACGAGGCGGUCACAGCCUCCGACAAGGCGGUUGGGGAUGAACUGGACGUUAUCUACGACGAUGGAUAGAAGCCGGUGUUGAGGAUGGCAAGCAAGGGGGCGGGAUGGCGAGGGCUUGGGCACGGUAAUGGCAGUAGGGAGGCGGGGGAGGACGAAGGGUUUGGUACAUUUUGUGUAAAUUAUGAUGGGGUCGGGCUAUCGCGUCCGACAUGGCGGGCACGUACGUGAGUCCCCAUAUCCGCCCCAUAUUUGGGUUGUAUAUGAGGGGUGAGGAUCAGCCUCGGCGUUUGAGUCUCAGUUUAAGAAGUCCGGGUCGCUUUUCUGUGACUAGUCACUAACCGGGCGUUUGAGAGGGGGUUAAGAGGUCCGGCUGUAAGAGCAUCUACAAUCGGACCCCUCAAACCCCCGGGCAGUCCGCUCGAUCACUGCCCGAUCACAAAAUUGUGAUCCGGACGGGCCUCUCAAACCGACCUAAAACGUCCGGGCUGACUCUGACCUCCCAUUUUCAACCCAAAUAUGAGGCGGAUAUGGGGGAGCCCGGGCACGCCGAGGCACGCCUGCCAUGUCGUGCUCACGGCUUGGCCCCAGGCGGACUCGCCGGGAAACAUGACAGCCUGAGGGGCGCCUUGUCCGUCGGUGCAGUGUGAACGCCGCAUGGCGCCGCUCCGGGUCCCUGCCCGAGGUCGGGGCCGACUAUGAUGCAGGCGGAGCAGACAUUCCAAAUGCAGGCGGAGAUGAUUGCCGAGGCGGAAAAUGACAAGUUGGACGAGCAGGGAUGCAUGGAUGAAUUUGUUCACCUAAUGAUCAAAAAGGCAUCCCUUGUCGCUCGGACAUUAAUUUUAUUUUACCAUGUCCAGCUUGUCGAACUAUGAUUUCAUUUGAUUUUGUUUUAAAAUACGGUUUUGCUAAAACUCAUUCAGCUGAGAUUUUUUUUGGUCUCAUUCACUUUUUUAACCCUAGGAUUCAAUCACAUCCGGAUUUGAGUUUUGUAGAAGUGACGAGUCGCCUCGCGAUGAGGCUGCCCAUCUAUUCGCCUCGCCGCACCUUUUUCCCGUGAUGGGCUUUUGUCCGCUGGACUUGUGUGGGCUUAUGACAGUUAUGUUAGUUCUUUUUUCUCUUUAUACUAGGCCAUAGGGAACAAGCGACUUUUUUUUCCUGCAUUUUGGUUUUCUUUGUUGUUUCAUUUUUUAUCCAUUAUUCCUAUUUUACCUUUAUUUUUUCAAUAUUUAUCAUUUUCUACUUUGUUUUCAUUGUUUGGUUGGAAGAGAACAUUUAAAGAUUUUUUAAACUAAUUUCUACUAAGAUGAAAUUUGGUUAACUUUUUAAAUGUACUAGAAAAUAAUUUUUUUAUACUUGUAUUUUGUGUUCCCAGAUUUUCUUUCUCAUUAGGCAGUGCGAUCACAAAGAUAUUACAAUUGACAUCGAACGAGGAUUAUCGGGCUAGUUGUAUGUCUAACAUUAGACAUGCAACUUCAAACAUUUAUAACUCAGCCGCAAUUGCAUUGAGUGCAAGACACUGCAAUUGGGGUCGGGACGGGGUUUGUCGGACCAGUUGUAUGUCCAUUACUAGACAUGCAACUUCAAGCAUUGGAACCCGACUGCAAUUGCACUAGGUGCAAAGAGACUACAACUGGGGUCGGAACGGGGGUUGUCGGACCAGUUGUAUGUCCAUUACUAGACAUGCAACUUCAAGCAUUGGAACCCGACUGCAAUUGCACUAGGUGCAAAGAGACUACAACUGGGGUCGGAACGGGGGUUGUCGGACCAGUUGCAUGUCCACUACUAGACAUGCAACUUCAAGCAUUGAAACCCCGGCUGCAAUUGUACUGGGUGCAAAGAGACUGCAACUGGGUUCGGGACAGGGGUUAUCAGACCAGUUGCAUGUGCACCAGUAGACGUGCAACUUCAAGUAUUGAAACCCCACUGCAAUUGCACUGGAUGCAAAGAGACUGCAACUGGGUUAGGGGUGGGGGUUGUCAAACCAGUUGCAUGUGCAACGUUGAAACCCGGCUGCAAUUGCAUUGGAUGCAAAGAGAUUGCAAGUGGGUUCGGGAUGAGGGUUGUCGGACUAGUUGCAUGUGCAUCAGUAGACAUGCAAAUGCAAAAAAGAAAAAGACACAAGCAGCCGUGAACAUGAUGCAUCGUAUAUCCUAGUUGACAUGCGCAGAAGAUUUGCGUGUAAGCAUUUUCUUCCUUUUCCUCAAAUAUUCCAGCCAUGCAAAUGUAGAAAAAACAACAAGACACAGAGAAUUAUAUAGCUACGUAGUAAAAACAAGCCCAGCCGAGCCAACAUAACAUAUUAACACAAAAAAAUAGCACAAGAAAGAAAUAGUAAUAUAACAUAAAAAAAUGAAUGAGAUCAAAUUAUAUAUCAUCUAGAUGAGUUCUAGCCAAACCCUUUAAAAUAUUGAAAUUAAAUAAACUAUAUCAGAUGAUUGAUAUAUAUGAUUGAUUAUUGUGUAUGAGGAUACAAAUAUGUGACGCAAUAUGUAGAGGGCCGGCGAACGUUGUCCACGGCGCAUCGGCGGAUGUAUCGGGGACUGAAUUUACCAGUCCGGCUGUAGAUGCUCUCACAAAGAGAAGGGCUGGUCAGGCUGGGGCGCACAUGCCGCCGGUUUCCCCCGCAAACUGGAAGGUGCCGCUCGCCGAAACGAGUCACGACCACGAGUGAAACUGGCGGCACUUGCAGCCGCACAUGCUCUGUUUCGUUUCUCAUCCCACAGUUUUAUAUGUAUUGUGAUGAGAUCGGCACUGUGAUGUCUAACUUUAGAUCUUUAGUGUGUAAAGAAAGACGAGGGCGCAGUGGAGGAUACUACCAACAAACAUCAUCAAUCCUAUGGAUCCCUACCAUAGUUUUGGAUACAGUUCCGCACUCCAAGUCCAAACGAGUGAGCAGAGAGAGCACCCACGGUUUCCGCCCAAAACCGUGCGUGGCGGCCACCUUUUUGCUCGCUAUAAAUACAUGGCUAGCUCCUCGUCCUGGAGGCAUCAAGCAACAACAAGCCAGGCAGCGCAUCUCAUCUCACUCUAUCGCACUCCUUGUACUGAGCCGUUUCUGUACAAGAUCACGGCCAAGAUGUCGUCGACGGCCACCGUCACCGGCGCCAACCCCGAGAACAAGCUCGCCCUCGCCAAACGCUGCUCCAGAGGUAAUAAAUAACCAGGAUCCACAGCUGAAUCACGCUUUCCAAGUUGUUUACUGCUAGUCUGACAGUAGCAAUGCGUUUAUUUUGUCAAUCUUCCUCAGAGGCGACGCUCGCCGGAGCAAAGGCGGCGGCCCUCGCCACGGUCGCGUCUGCGGCGGCAACGGUGAGCUAGCUCCUUUGUCUAACAUGACUUGUUGAUUUUCGUUCACGUUGGACUCUGGUUUCCAUAACUGAACUACUAUUAAUCACGCAGCUGGCGAGCGUGAGGAUGCUGCCGUGGGCCAAGGCGAACCUGAACCCCACCGGCCAGGCGCUCAUCAUCUGCACCGUCGCCGGGAUGGCCUACUUCGUCGCCGCCGACAAGACCAUCCUCUCGCUGGCGAGGAGGCACUCGUACGAGAGCGCCCCCGACCACCUCAAGGACACCUCCUUCCAUGGCGCCGCCCCUCGUCCACGUCCACCGCCACCGGCGUUCUUCAGCCCAUGAGCUAGUGUUCCUGCUAAUGUAUGCAUCGUCGUCAGUGUCCCAAGAAACUGCUGCGGAAUGAAUAAUUGAAUAUCUGU
rnacentral:lncRNA from 1 species